rnacentral:sRNA from 1 species
GCUGGGCAGGGUGAUUCUUGCCUGUAGUCUAAGCUACUCAGGAAGCUGAGGCAGGAGGAUCACUUGAGCCCAGGAGUUUGAGGGCAUCCUGAGCAAUAUAGUAAGACCCUAUCUGAA